rnacentral:sRNA from 1 species
GUCCCGCCCAAACACGUGUACCGCGUGCUGCAGUGCCAGGAGGAGGAGCUCACGCAAAUGGUCUCCACCAUGUCUGAUGGCUGGCGCUUCGAGCAGCUGGUGAACAUCGGCUCCUCCUACAACUACGGCAGCGAGGACCAGGCAGAGUUCCUGUGUGUGGUGUCCAAGGAGCUCCACAGCUCCCCGAACGGGCUGAGCUCAGAGUCCAGCCGCAAAACCAAGAGCACGGAGGAGCAGCUGGAGGAGCAGCAGCAGCAGGAGGAGGAGGUGGAGGAGGUGGAGGUGGAACAGGUGCAGGUGGAGGCAGAUGCACAGGAGAAAGGUGCAGCCAACCCCCAGGAGGAUGAUUGCUAAGCAAAGCCGGAGCCUCCCGCCCACUCCUUGCUGGAGCCAGCUGCAGAACCGGGGGCCCCGGGGCUGCUGGGGGGGCACCAGGGUUAGCUCAGCCACUUGCCUGGCGCCUCACCCGCAUAACCAUCCCUUCUCUCACUUUCUCUUUGCAGCCCAGUCAUCUCAGGAUCCCGCUAACCUUUUCUCCCUCCCACCACUGCCUCCUCCUCCGCUUCCCGCUGGAGGUCCUGCCUCAUCUUCAUCCACCUCUUCUUCCUCCUGGAUCUCAUCUGCACCCUGCCUCUUCCCUCUCUGCCCCUGUCCGGGUUUUCUCUCUGCCUGCUCACGCCUCCAUCCCGGGUCUGCCCUGGUCCCAGCCUCCCGUGCCCUCCACCCAGGCCCCCUGGCCCUGCAUCCCAGAGCGUCCUGCCUGCCGCCUCCUGCGCCCCUUCUGGUACCUCCUGCCUCCCAGCCUGGG